CGGCUCCGGCCGUGAAUAGAGUGGCGAACGGGUGAGUAACACGUGACCAACCUGCCCCCUACCCCGGGAUAACGCAAGGAAACCUGCGCUAAUACCGGAUACUCCUUCCCCUGCUCCUGCAGGGGUCGGGAAAGCCCAGACGGUAGGGGAUGGGGUCGCGGCCCAUUAGGUAGACGGCGGGGCAACGGCCCACCGUGCCUGCGAUGGGUAGCCGGGUUGAGAGACCGACCGGCCACAUUGGGACUGAGAUACGGCCCAGACUCCUACGGGAGGCAGCAUG
rnacentral:rRNA from 1 species